rnacentral:sRNA from 1 species
GGUGCGAUCAAUGGCCCUAUACGGGGCGCC